CAAUUUAAACAACGAAGAGUUUGAUCCUGGCUCAGGAUGAACGCUAGCGACAGGCUUAACACAUGCAAGUCGAGGGGCAGCACAGGUAGCAAUACCGGGUGGCGACCGGCGCACGGGUGAGUAACGCGUAUGCAACUUGCCUAUCAGAGGGGGAUAACCCGGCGAAAGUCGGACUAAUACCGCAUGAAGCAGGGGCCCCGCAUGGGGAUAUUUGCUAAAGAUUCAUCGCUGAUAGAUAGGCAUGCGUUCCAUUAGGCAGUUGGCGGGGUAACGGCCCACCAAACCGACGAUGGAUAGGGGUUCUGAGAGGAAGGUCCCCCACAUUGGUACUGAGACACGGACCAAACUCCUACGGGAGGCAGCAGUGAGGAAUAUUGGUCAAUGGCCGAGAGGCUGAACCAGCCAAGUCGCGUGAGGGAUGAAGGUUCUAUGGAUCGUAAACCUCUUUUAUAAGGGAAUAAAGUGCGGGACGUGUCCCGUUUUGUAUGUACCUUAUGAAUAAGGAUCGGCUAACUCCGUGCCAGCAGCCGCGGUAAUACGGAGGAUCCGAGCGUUAUCCGGAUUUAUUGGGUUUAAAGGGUGCGUAGGCGGCCUUUUAAGUCAGCGGUGAAAGUCUGUGGCUCAACCAUAGAAUUGCCGUUGAAACUGGGGGGCUUGAGUAUGUUUGAGGCAGGCGGAAUGCGUGGUGUAGCGGUGAAAUGCAUAGAUAUCACGCAGAACCCCGAUUGCGAAGGCAGCCUGCCAAGCCAUUACUGACGCUGAUGCACGAAAGCGUGGGGAUCAAACAGGAUUAGAUACCCUGGUAGUCCACGCAGUAAACGAUGAUCACUAGCUGUUUGCGAUACACUGUAAGCGGCACAGCGAAAGCGUUAAGUGAUCCACCUGGGGAGUACGCCGGCAACGGUGAAACUCAAAGGAAUUGACGGGGGCCCGCACAAGCGGAGGAACAUGUGGUUUAAUUCGAUGAUACGCGAGGAACCUUACCCGGGUUUGAACGCAUUCGGACCGAGGUGGAAACACCUUUUCUAGCAAUAGCCGUUUGCGAGGUGCUGCAUGGUUGUCGUCAGCUCGUGCCGUGAGGUGUCGGCUUAAGUGCCAUAACGAGCGCAACCCUUGCCACUAGUUACUAACAGGUAAAGCUGAGGACUCUGGUGGGACUGCCAGCGUAAGCUGCGAGGAAGGCGGGGAUGACGUCAAAUCAGCACGGCCCUUACAUCCGGGGCGACACACGUGUUACAAUGGCGUGGACAAAGGGAGGCCACCUGGCGACAGGGAGCGAAUCCCCAAACCACGUCUCAGUUCGGAUCGGAGUCUGCAACCCGACUCCGUGAAGCUGGAUUCGCUAGUAAUCGCGCAUCAGCCAUGGCGCGGUGAAUACGUUCCCGGGCCUUGUACACACCGCCCGUCAAGCCAUGGGAGCCGGGGGUACCUGAAGUCCGUAACCGAAAGGAUCGGCCUAGGGUAAAACUGGUGACUGGGGCUAAGUCGUAACAAGGUAGCCGUACCGGAAGGUGCGGCUGGAACACCUCCUUUCUGGAGC
rnacentral:rRNA from 1 species